CCUGCCCCUAGAAAUGUUGCAUGUAUGGCAUGUAUGUGUCAUGUGUGCAUCAGUAGGUGGCAGAGAGGAGAGAGCCUAUGUGUAGGCUCGGUGCUCUAACCCAUGGAGUUCUCUGAAUGAUUAGUGGCCUGACACA